AGCAGCCGCGGUAAUUCCAGCUCCAAUAGCGUAUAUUAAAGUUGUUGCAGUUAAAAAGCUCGUAGUUGAAUUUCGGGGUUCUACCGUUGGUCGGGCAAUUGUCUGUACUGGCGUGUGGAAUUUCUACCUUCUGGGGAACCAUCAUGUUAUUAAUUUAGCGUGGUGGGAAACCAGGACCUUUACCUUGAAAAAAUUAGAGUGUUCAAAGCAGGCUUACGUCUGAAUACAUUAGCAUGGAAUAAUAAAAUAGGACGGUGGUCCUGUUUUGUUGGUUUCUGAAUCACCGUAAUGAUUAAUAGGGAUAGUUGGGGGCAUUAGUAUUCAAUUGUCAGAGGUGAAAUUCUUGGAUUUAUUGAAGACUAACUUCUGCGAAAGCAUUUGCCAAGGAUGUUUUCAUUAAUCAAGAACGAAA
rnacentral:rRNA from 1 species